GAUUAAGAACGUAGCGAAACGCGAAAGGUAAUGCGAAUUGCAGAUCAGUGAAUCAUCGAAUCUUUGAACGCACAUUGCACCUCUCGGUAUUCCGGGAGGUAUGCCUGUUCGAGCGUCAUUUGUACCCUCAAGCUCUGCUUGGUGUUGGGUGUUUGUUCCGCCUCUGUGUGUGAACUCGCCUCAAAACAAUUGGCAGCCGGCGUACUUGUUUCGGAGCGCAGCACAUUUUGCGAUCCAGAUCAACGUACAGCGGCAUCCAAGAAGCCUUAUUUAACGCUCUUGACCUCGGAUCAGGUAGGGAUACCCGCUGAACUUAAGCAUAUCAAUAGCGGAGGA
rnacentral:misc_RNA from 1 species